UUUGUAUCACGUGCGGAAAUUGUUACCAUUUUCGGCUCAAAAAUGGUAACAAUUUCCACACGUAAUACAAA
rnacentral:miRNA from 1 species